AUUUUUCAAUAAUUGUCCAAAACUAAUAAGAAGAAAGAAGAAAAUAAACCAGAGGAGAAGAAACCCAAAGAGAAAAUUCCCAAGGUUAGGAAGCCCACUGUUAGAAAGAAAUCAGUGUCAGACAAAAAAAGCGCCGACCAGAAGAGCUCCAUUGCACAAAAGAAAGAGACAGAGGAAGUAUUCAAUGGGAAAAUGGCUCAACUUAUAAAUUUGAGAGCUAUCAAUUUCGGAUGCGCCUUCAAUAGUUGGAAUCCCAACGAAGCAUUCUACGGUCGAUCUGACGAGAAAGAAAUAUGCAAUUCAUUUGUUCAGAAGAGGGUUGACAAUCCACUAUUUGUUCCUGAUCAAAAUGACCAAAUGACUAUCAUAAGAAUGAAGUUUUAUAAGCUUCUCAGAAAAGAGACAUUCCUACCUAUAGAUGCGAUAGAAGAACACUGGAACGAUGAUGACGAAUUCUCAUGUGAAACAAGGAAUAGCUUGAAGGGUCAAGGUAUAGUUGAUUUUCUCUUACAAUCGACACUUUUCGCACUUUUGGAUGACCUGAUGUGCACUUCAGAAGAUUUGCCAGAAGCAUACAAAGAAACCGAAGAAUCUCUUGAACAGAGUAUGGUUUUCAUGAUAGAGGGCUUUCUGCAGAACGUCAAUGAAUCUGAAGAUAAGAACGAUUCCAAAGAAAUUAACGAAAACAAUGGCAAAUUCGAACAUGAUACUGAUGAGGAUGAAGUGGAAGAGGACAUUGAUUAUUCGGAAUCGGCUGAAAUGUCUGAUGUGGAAUCCUCUGUGUGUGACGAAAGCUCCGAUAGUGAGUAUUGCCAGUCCGAAGUGGAUGACGACCAGAUUGAAGUGAAAUCGAUCGAUAUGGACAAGUCACCAGAUGACAAGAAAGAUAUUCAGAACGAUUGUCCGGUUGCUUCAGCCAAUAAUGAAGACUUAUCAUGCACACCGAAGAGUCCUGUACAAAAUGGAGAAUGUUCAGAACAAUAUUCAACAGAGUCUGAUGAAACCCUUGUCUGCACUGAUGAAAAAAGCAAUGAUGUAAUAAUUCCUGAAAAGAUUAUGCUUGAGCAAUCAGUUCAGACCGAUGAUGAUGAAGAGAACUCGGCAAAGAAUGUGAUUGAAAACUUGAAGAAAAAAAUUGACCUAUUCAAUGAAAAUCUUUAUGAGAAAAAUGAAAAAAUCGAUGCCCUUAAAGUUGAAUUAUCGAAAAUCAGUUCGUUGAAUCAGAUUAUGCUUGAGCAAUCAGUUCAGACCGAUGAUGAUGAAGAGAACUCGGCAAAGAAUGUGAUUGAAAACUUGAAGAAAAAAAUUGACCUAUUCAAUGAAAAUCUUUAUGAGAAAAAUGAAAAAAUCGAUGCCCUUGAAGUUGAAUUAUCGAAAAUCAGUUCGUUGAAUCAGAAGUUGGAAAUUGAAAAUGGCAAGCUGUUGGAUCAGAAAGAAAAACUGAGUAAAAAAUUGACUAACCAAGCAACUUUAUUUCAAAAGAAGGAAGCUGAGCUGACAAAAGAAAUGGAUCUGACAGAAAAAUCCUGUCUGGAAAAACUAGCACUCCUUCAGAAUUACGUAGAAACACUGUUGAUGAAUUGCAAGGAGAAAUGCAGCGUUUAUGAACAGAAUCAAUCAAAACUGGAACAGGCUGUAGUUAUGUUGGAAAAAGAAAAUGCAAUGUUGAAAUUGCGCCAGUCUGAAUCAUCAGUGACAAGAACAUUAAAUAACAAUUAUUCAACAAACAAAAUUGAACUGGAAGAGGCAAGUAGAUCAGAGAGUGACGAAAAUGUUGAGGAUGAUGUUGAGGAACAUGUUGAGGAAGACGUUGCAGAAGAUUUUGAAGAAGAUGUUGAAGAAGACGUUCCAGAAGAUUUUGAAGAAGAUAUUGAGGAAAAUGUUGAAGAAGAUUUUGAGGAAAGUGCACAAGUGUAUGUUGAUGAUAGCGUAUACUCCAACCACUUGAUGAAUGGUCUGUCCUCAUCCGAGUCGACUCAGGAUGAAGUCGCCCAAAGUGAGGCAUUCGUCCUUUCCAAUUAUGUCGAGCCACAAGACGAAGGCAAUUGGGAAACCUCCAGCAGACAUUCCAGUCACUCCAAGUCGGACGUCGGAUCGUCGACUACCAGUAUCGUGAGAAAGAAGAAAUUCAAUCUCCUGAGGGAUUCACUUGUAAAACUAAACCCCGUUUGGACUGAAAGCGAAGUUGAGGAAUGUAUGCGAAUUGUAAGAGUUCGUAAUAAUAACUCUCUUACUGGAUUGCCAAUGACUGAAAUCUCCGCAAGAGUUCGCAUUUUAUUAGACGAGCGCUCUAGAAAACCAUAAAAGUUCGAUUUUACGCACAAAAACUGGAAGAAGAGUCUUUCGGAGCAAGAUCGUCUGCACUAAACGCUACUCUGGGCUUGGAAAAGUUUACGAAGGUUGGCUGGUGUCAAAGCAAACCGACUGAUAAUAGUUGGUCCGGAAAUAUCGAGCUUGAAGACUGCAUCAUUUGCUCUGAAGAAAUAGAUAGGAAACAUCUCACCACUCUUGAAUGUCAUCAUUAUUUUCAUACAGAGUGCAUCCGGAAGUGGCUUAAAGAGAAGAGUAUUUGCCCACUGUGCACAACUUUCACCAAAAUGCCGGAUGAAUUUCCUGCGCUGUGAUCAUGUGAUAGUAGAUUUGCUAUUAUUCAAUUUACUUAUUAAUUAUCUUUAGUUCUUCAGUUAUGUUCUUCCUGUUUCAUAAUGAAAGUAGACUUAUGCGAUUCAUUUAUUACUUGAAUGAUAAUGUGUAUCCACGCAUAAAUUCUAAGACUAUUUUUGGAAUCUACCAUUUAUUUUUAUAUCAUAUAAGAGAAUUUAGAAGCUCUGAAUAAGUGAAAUUAAUUUUUGACUAUUUUUCUUGGCAUUUAUGUUAAGUUUGACUAUUACAUGAGGAUAAGAGUUAAGUUUAAUGUUACUGUAGUUGUAGAGUUGACGAGUUGAUAAUACUUUCGAUUUAUUUUUAUGGAAGUUGAAUUUUAUGUUUCACCAUCUGUGCCACAAUCGAAACUAAAAUCAUUUCUCAAUAAAUUUCAAGUAUUCAAUUAGAAACUAUUUUCGAUGUAUGCUUGUAUUAUCAAUUUUUAGUCUUUAUAUUUAUCAAUAUUCCAAUCAUUGAAUAUUUUCAGUUGUGAAAGUUUUUUUAUUUUCUCUACUAUUCUCAUUUCAUAAUCUAACAUGAGAAAAGGGUGAAUUCUGAAUAAAACAAUUUUUAUUCAAUUUAUUUAACAUAAAAUUAUUAUUUCUACAUCAGUGGAACCAAUAAUAAUGAAUAUCAUCCCAAUAAUAUACAGAAUUCGUUAUAAACUAUUAUAAGUUACAUUUUAUUUUGAUCUUAUGGUGGUAUUAGGCGCCUCCUAUGAAGAAAAAUCAUUUUGCAAUUACUAUAAUGUAUUAUAGAAAUAUCUAUAAUAUUAUUUCUACAUCAGUUAUCUAAUAAUACUAAUAAUGAAUAUCAUCCCAAUAAUACACAGAAUACAUUAUAAGCUAUUAUAAGUUACUUUCUAUUUUGAUCUUAUGUUGGGAUCAGGCGCUUCCUAUGAAGAAAAUCAUUCUACUAUUACUACAAUUUAUACGAAAAUAAAUAUCUUCCUAUUUAGCUAGAAUAAUCUAACUAAUUUUGAAAUUUCUCAAGCCUUAAAACUUUGAUAAUUGAUCGCUUAUUGAGUGUUGUGAGUUUAUAUAGAAACUAUAUUGAUGUUCUAUGUUUCCAAAUGCAAUAGGCCUAAUGAGAAAAAUAUGCAAUAAAAAUCUUUCCAAUUUAUUAGAAUAUUAAUUUCCUGGGAACUGAGUUGAAACUGCUGUAGGCUAAUAGUGAAGUAACAAAAUUGAAGUUCAGUCUAUUCGGAAUUAUUCAUACAGUAGCCUACUUACACGUAUAGAUUUAUUUCUUGACUAUGGUAAUCUCAAAUAAUCCUCUUACAACUUAUUACAUUUAUCGUUAUUACUCGUAAAAAUUGUAAACAAUAAAUUUCAAUUACAACAAAACAGAAACUGAAAUUUCCAAUUGAAAAAAAUUAAUUAUUCAUGUCUCGAAAAGUGAACGUUUUUCAAACUUGUCUAUUUGUGUGAUUAUUAUAAUUAUUGUACUAAUGUGUAUUGAGCUACAGUUUCAUUUUAAUAAUGUAAGUUGUGCUAUCAAGAGAAUUGUCAUAAUGAAUGUAUUAUUGUAUCAAUUUGAGACCGUUCUGCAUCGUGUACGGUUUAUUCUCUGUAUACUUCCUAAUGAAUUACUUAAUUGCAUUUUUGUAUUCAACAUUAAUUCGAAGGAUACAUUAUAUUUUCUACAUUGUU
rnacentral:misc_RNA from 1 species